UACAGAGGGUGCGAGCGUUGUCCGGAAUCACUGGGCGUAAAGGGCGCGUAGGCGGCGCGGAUAGUCGGCGGUGAAAGCCCGGAGCUCAACUCCGGGUCGGCCGUCGAUACUUCCGGGCUUGAGCACUGUAGAGGCAGAUGGAAUUCCGGGUGUAGCGGUGGAAUGCGUAGAGAUCGGGAAGAAUACCAGUGGCGAAGGCGUUCUGCUGGGCCGUUGCUGACACUGAGGCGCGACAGCGUGGGGAGCAAACAGG
rnacentral:rRNA from 1 species